rnacentral:rRNA from 1 species
GCAUAUCAAUAAGCGGAGGAAAAGAAACCAACAGGGAUUGCCUCAGUAACGGCGAGUGAAGCGGCAACAGCUCAAAUUUGAAAUCUGGCCUCACGGUCCGAGUUGUAAUUUGUAGAGGAUGCUUCGAGCAUGGUCUGGCCUAAGUUCCUUGGAACAGGACGUCAUAGAGGGUGAGAAUCCCGUAUGCGGCCAGGUGCCUACGCUCAUGUGAAGCUCCUUCGACGAGUCGAGUUGUUUGGGAAUGCAGCUCAAAAUGGGUGGUAAAUUUCAUCUAAAGCUAAAUAUUGGCCAGAGACCGAUAGCGCACAAGUAGAGUGAUCGAAAGAUGAAAAGCACUUUGGAAAGAGAGUUAAACAGUACGUGAAAUUGUUGAAAGGGAAGCGCUUGCAACCAGACUUGCGUGCGGCCGAUCAUCCGGUGUUCUCACCGGUGCACUCGGUCGCGCUCAGGCCAGCAUCGGUUUUGGUGGUUGGAUAAAGGCCCUAGGAAUGUAGCUUCUCUCGGGGAGUGUUAUAGCCUAGGGUGCAAUGCAGCCCACCGGGACCGAGGACCGCGCUUCGGCUAGGAUGCUGGCGUAAUGGUUGUAAGCGACCCGUCUUGAAACACGGACCAAGGAGUCUAACAUCUAUGCGAGUGUUUGGGUGUCAAACCCAUACGCGUAAUGAAAGUGAACGGAGGUGAGAACCCUUAAGGGUGCAUCAUCGACCGAUCCUGAUGUCUUCGGAUGGAUUUGAGUAAGAGCAUAGCUGUUGGGACCCGAAAGAUGGUGAACUAUGCCUGAAUAGGGUGAAGCCAGAGGAAACUCUGGUGGAGGCUCGCAGCGGUUCUGACGUGCAAAUCGAUCGUCAAAUUUGGGCAUAGGGGCGAAAGACUAAUCGAACCAUCUAGUAGCUGGUUCCUGCG